CCUACGCGAGGCAGCAGUGGGGAAUAUUGCACAAUGGGGGAAACCCUGAUGCAGCGACGCCGCGUGAGGGAAGAAGUAUUUCGGUACGUAAAGCUCUAUCAGCAGGGAAGAAAAUGACGGUACCUGACUAAGAAGCCCCGGCUAACUACGUGCCACCAGACGGUGUAAUACGUAGGGCGCAAGCGUUAUCCGGAUUUACUGGGUGUAAAGGGAGGCUAGACGGUAGCGCAAGUCUGAAGUGAAAACGCAGGGCUUAACCCUGGAACUGCUUUUGAAACUGGCCAGCUGGAGUGCAGUAGAGGUAAGCGGAAUUCCUGGUGUAGCGGUGAAAUGCGUAGAUAUCAGGAGGAACACCAGUGGCGAAGGCGGCUUACUGGACUGAAACUGACGUUGAGGCUCGAAAGCGUGGGGAGCAAACAGGAUUAGAUACCCGUGUAGUC
rnacentral:rRNA from 1 species